CGCUGGCGGCGUGCCUAAUACAUGCAAGUCGAACGAACUCUGGUAUUGAUUGGUGCUUGCAUCAUGAUUUACAUUUGAGUGAGUGGCGAACUGGUGAGUAACACGUGGGAAACCUGCCCAGAAGCGGGGGAUAACACCUGGAAACAGAUGCUAAUACCGCAUAACAACUUGGACCGCAUGGUCCGAGUUUGAAAGAUGGCUUCGGCUAUCACUUUUGGAUGGUCCCGCGGCGUAUUAGCUAGAUGGUGGGGUAACGGCUCACCAUGGCAAUGAUACGUAGCCGACCUGAGAGGGUAAUCGGCCACAUUGGGACUGAGACACGGCCCAAACUCCUACGGGAGGCAGCAGUAGGGAAUCUUCCACAAUGGACGAAAGUCUGAUGGAGCAACGCCGCGUGAGUGAAGAAGGGUUUCGGCUCGUAAAACUCUGUUGUUAAAGAAGAACAUAUCUGAGAGUAACUGUUCAGGUAUUGACGGUAUUUAACCAGAAAGCCACGGCUAACUACGUGCCAGCAGCCGCGGUAAUACGUAGGUGGCAAGCGUUGUCCGGAUUUAUUGGGCGUAAAGCGAGCGCAGGCGGUUUUUUAAGUCUGAUGUGAAAGCCUUCGGCUCAACCGAAGAAGUGCAUCGGAAACUGGGAAACUUGAGUGCAGAAGAGGACAGUGGA
rnacentral:rRNA from 2 species